rnacentral:rRNA from 1 species
AGAGUUUGAUCCUGGCUCAGGAUGAACGCUAGCGACAGGCUUAACACAUGCAAGUCGAGGGGCAGCGGUGGUGAAGGCUUGCCUUUACCAGCCGGCGACCGGCGCACGGGUGAGUAACACGUAUGCAACCUGCCUGCCACAGCCGGAUAAUCGGGAGAAAUUCCGUCUAAUACGGCAUAAUGCAUCGACGGGACAUCCCGUUGGUGCCAAAGGUUGAUUCCGGUGGCGGAUGGGCAUGCGUCGCAUUAGUUAGUUGGCGGUGUAACGGACCACCAAGACGACGAUGCGUAGGGGUUCUGAGAGGAAGGUCCCCCACACUGGUACUGAGACACGGACCAGACUCCUACGGGAGGCAGCAGUGAGGAAUAUUGGUCAAUGGGCGGGAGCCUGAACCAGCCAAGUCGCGUGAGGGAUGACGGCCCUAUGGGUUGUAAACCUCUUUUGCCGGGGAGCAAAGUGCCGCACGUGUGCGGUUUGGAGAGUACCCGGAGAAAAAGCAUCGGCUAACUCCGUGCCAGCAGCCGCGGUAAUACGGAGGAUGCGAGCGUUAUCCGGAUUUAUUGGGUUUAAAGGGUGCGUAGGCGGACGCUUAAGUCAGCGGUAAAAUUGCGGGGCUCAACCUCGUCGAGCCGUUGAAACUGGGUGCCUUGAGUGGGCGAGAAGUACGCGGAAUGCGUGGUGUAGCGGCGAAAUGCAUAGAUAUCACGCAGAACUCCGAUUGCGAAGGCAGCGUACCGGCGCCCAACUGACGCUGAAGCACGAAGGCGUGGGUAUCGAACAGGAUUAGAUACCCUGGUAGUCCACGCAGUAAACGAUGAAUGCUAGUUGUCCGGGGCGAUUGAGUUCUGGGUGACACAGCGAAAGCGUUAAGCAUUCCACCUGGGGAGUACGCCGGCAACGGUGAAACUCAAAGGAAUUGACGGGGGCCCGCACAAGCGGAGGAACAUGUGGUUUAAUUUGAUGAUACGCGAGGAACCUUACCCGGGCUCAAACGCAGGAGGGAUGUUUUUGAAAGGAGGCAGCCAGCAAUGGUCUCCUGCGAGGUGCUGCAUGGUUGUCGUCAGCUCGUGCCGUGAGGUGUCGGCUUAAGUGCCAUAACGAGCGCAACCCCUACCUACAGUUGCCAUCGCGUGAUGGCGGGCACUCUGUGGGGACUGCCUGCGCAAGCAGUGAGGAAGGCGGGGAUGACGUCAAAUCAGCACGGCCCUUACGUCCGGGGCGACACACGUGUUACAAUGGCAGGUACAGCGGGAAGCCACCCGGCGACGGGGCGCGGAACCCGAAAACCUGUCUCAGUUCGGAUUGGAGUCUGCAACCCGACUCCAUGAAGCUGGAUUCGCUAGUAAUCGCGCAUCAGCCACGGCGCGGUGAAUACGUUCCCGGGCCUUGUACACAACGCCCGUCA